rnacentral:lncRNA from 1 species
UUUAAUUUUAUGCAUAGGAUUAGUCUCUUCAUCUUCUCCCCAUUUCUUUAAUUUCAAAAUCUCUCCCUCCUUUUAAAACUUUCUUUGUUUGAACUUAUUUUGUUCUAAACUUUGACCACUUUGUAAAAAGAUAGAAACUUUGGCCUUAUGCCAUUGCAUUUCCAAACUUCUUUUCUUAAAUCAAAUUUGUAAGUAAACUUAACUAUACUUGACUCAAAACUUUCAAAAAUCCAAAAGAACUAACCCAUUCAAACCAUUUUUGGGCCUUUGUGCCUUUCAAACUUAAUUUUUGUUAAAAGCAAUGCAUCCACUUUGAAAUUUGUAUCAUAAACUACGAGGUUUUGAUCCCUCAUUUUUAUGUUUGUACAUAGGCACAAGUCCGAAGGUCUUGUCAAACACAAAAAUAUAAUU